rnacentral:rRNA from 1 species
CAGUAGUCAUAUGCUUGUGUCAAAGAUUAAGCCAUGCAUGUCUAAGUAUAAGCAAGUCUAUACAGUGAAACUGCGAAUGGCUCAUUAUAUCAGUUAUAGUUUAUUUGACUGUACCCGCAUACCACUUGGAUACCCGUGGUAAUUCUAGAGCUAAUACAUGCGCGAAAGGCCCGACUGUUUCGGAAGGGCUGCAUUUAUUAGAUAUAAAACCAAACUCCUUUCGGGGAGAUUUCGGUGAAUCAUAAUAACUGAGCGAACCGUGUCCGUAUGGAGACGGUGGGUCAUUCAAAUUUCUGCCCUAUCAACUGUCGAUGGUACGGUAGUGGCCUACCAUGGUGACAACGGGUAACGGGGAAUCAGGGUUUGAUUCCGGAGAGGGAGCCUGAGAAACGGCUACCACUUCUAAGGAAGGCAGCAGGCGCGCAAAUUACCCAAUGCUAACACAGUGAGGUAGUGACAAUAAAUAACAACCCAGGGCCCUUUGGGUCUUGGGAUUGCAAUGAGUACAAUUUAAACACCUUAACGAGGAACAAUUGGAGGGCAAGUCUGGUGCCAGCAGCCGCGGUAAUUCCAGCUCCAAUAGUGUAUAUUAAAGUUGCUGCAGUUAAAAAGCUCGUAGUCGGAAUUUGGAUUGAGGGAUAUGGACCGCCUUCUUUUGAGGGUUGUGUCCACAAUAUGUCUCGUCCAGCCUUUCUAGGUGCUGCCGGCUGGCCAUUUAUUUGGCUGGUUGGACUAGUCCUAGACUUUUACCUUGAAAAAAUUAGAGUGUUCAAAGCAGGCAUUUUUGCCCGAAUAGAUUAGCAUGGAAUGAUGAAAUAUGACCGGAGUCUUGUUUUGUUGGUUUUACGGGGCUCCGGUAAUGAUUAAUAGGAACAGUUGGGGGCAUUUGAAUUGAGUGGUUAGAGGUGAAAUUCUUGGAUCCAUUCAAGUCAAACUACUGCGAAAGCAUUUGUCCAGCAUGUCUCCAUUGAUCAAGAACGAAAGUCAGGGGAUCGAAGACGAUUAGAUACCGUCGUAGUCUUGACCAUAAACUAUGCCGACUGGGGAUGGGGCCGACUAUUUAGAGCGGCUCUGGACCCUGGAGGAGAAAUCAAAGUUUUUGGGUUCCGGGGGGAGUAUGGUCGCAAGGCUGAAACUUAAAGGAAUUGACGGAAGGGCACCACCAGAAAUGGAGCCUGCGGCUUAAUUUGACUCAACACGGGGAAACUCACCAGGUCCAGACAUAGUGAGGAUUGACAGAUUGACAGCUCUUUCUUGAUUCUAUGGGUGGUGGUGCAUGGCCGUUCUUAGUUCGUGGAUUCAUUUGUCUGGUUAAUUCCGAUAACGAACGAGACCUUAACCUGCUAAAUAGACUGGCUAGUCUUUUGACUGGUGCAGCCUUCUUAGAGGGACUGCUGGUUUCAAGCCAGCGGAAGUUUUAGGCAAUAACAGGUCUGUGAUGCCCUUAGAUGUUCUGGGCCGCACGCGCGCUACACUGAUGAGGUCAGCGAGUUAGCCAUUUUUUGGCGUUCCUGGUCCGAUAGGAUCGGGUAAUCUUGUAAACCUCAUCGUGCUGGGGAUUGUCCUUUGCAACUUUCGGACAUGAACGAGGAAUUUCUAGUAAUCGCAAGUCAUCAGCUUGCGAUGAUUACGUCCCUGCCCUUUGUACACACCGCCCGUCGCUACUACCGAUUGAAUGGCUUAGUGAGUCCUCCGGAUUUGGCCAGCACGCCCUCACCGGCUGCCGGCUAGAGAAGCUGGGCAAACUUGGUCAUUUAGAGGAAGUAAAAGUCGUAACAAGGUCAUCGUAGGUGAACCUGCGGUGGGAUCAUCAAUAAUCUAACAAACAACCACUUAAGGUGUGAAUUUGUGCUUGAUUUUUAAGACGAGUGCGUUUCCUUUGGGGGGCGCCUUUUCUGAUAAAUUUCUAUCUGCUUGGUCAGUUUUGGCCAGGCAGAUGGGGAUAAAACCUGCACUUUACAGUGUAUUUUAUGGCCAACNUUUAAAUUCCUCAAUAGGACUGAAGCCCAUUUUUAUGAGCAUCGGACCUCUGGAAAAAUCUGUAAUUCUCUAUCUAGCUGUAAUGGCAAGAUAAAUAAUUCAUACAAAACUAUUAAUGGUGGAUCACUUGGCUCUCGCAUCGAUGAAGAACGCAGCGAAUUGCGAAAAUUGUCGUGACUUGCAUCAUCGUGAAUCAUCGAGUUUUCGAACGCACAUUGCACUUUACACUUGUGUAAAGUAUGUCUGUUUGAGCAUCAUUAUAUACCCCCACCCUCAAGCUUUUUUCGAAAGGUUUUGANGGGGAUUGAUGAGCGUUUCUGGCUGUAUUUUAUACAGACAGUCGCUUGAAAUGCAGAGGUUGUUUUGGCUUUUAUAGUCAUUACAGAAAUAACCACUACAUUCAACAGAAUUCAACAACAAUUCUGCCUUAGGGAGUGUACAAUUCUUGGGUUUUAUCAAAACACUAGUUGUCCGCGUUUGACCUUUGGCUAGAGCCCGUCGUCUUCUGGUAGUAACCAUUUCAGUUAUACCUCUGGGUCUUUUUUCACAAAGCCCGCUUGCAUAACCCCUUUUAUUUUGAUCUCAAAUCAGGCAAGACUACCCGCUGAAUUUAAGCAUAUCAAUAAGCGGAGGAAAAGAAACUAACAAGGAUUCCCCUAGUAACGGCGAGUGAAGCGGGAACAGCUCAAGGCAGGAAUCCCUUUGGGGAGUUGUGGCCUAUGGAACGUAGUUGCUGUAAGCCGGUCUGCGGAUCAAGUCCCUUGGAAUAGGGCGCCAGAGAGGGUGAUAGCCCCGUCCACUGCAGGCUUGAACGGUUUCGUUAUGCACUAUGCUCCGCGAGUCGGGUUGUUUGGGAAUGCAGCCCUAAUCGGGAGGUACGCACCUUCCAAGGCUAAAUAUUCAGGCGAGAGACCGAUAGCGAACAAGUACCGUGAGGGAAAGUUGAAAAGUACUCUGGAGAGAGAGUGAAAAGCGCGUGAAACCAUUAGUAGGGAACCGCUUGCACGGUGCACCGAGUGGCGUUGGCUUCGGCCGGCGUCACCGCUCAACACCAGUUUGGCUUGCUGGAAAAAGGGGGGAGCAAGGUAGCAACGCUUCGGGGUUGUGUUAUAGGCUCCCUUCAUAUACAGUGGGCUGGACUGAGGACGGCGACAUCUCUUCCUCGGAGGGGCGCUUGUGCGGACUGGCCAUUGGGCUGGACUGUGCGGACAGCAUGCUGGCCGUACGGGACCAUGUCUGA